CUUGGCCUUGUCUCUUCCAUCUCUACUUUUUUCUUAACCUCAAACCGCAGGUGAAAAACUUAGCUGCCUCCAUUACCGUCGUUGACAUCACCAUUUUCCAUCCCAGCUUACUAUAAAACCGCUCUUUUCUUCCUUCGGACCUUGUUCCUUAGAUUUCCUUAAAAUGAUCCAAAAUCCUACAAAACAAAACCCUAAACCCGCAACCUUUAUUAGUCUCGAUCUCCUUUUUCGCCCGUUGAUGUAGCCUAAUUUUUUGGUAAGUUGUUUACUCAUUGGUGGCCACCUUCUCACUAUUUCGAUUAUCCAACCGUUGUCUGGAGCUCGCUGACUGGACCUUGACCAAUGGUUUUGCUCGUGGGUUUUGGAAGAGGGGAGCUUCUUCUCUUUUGGUUUUUGAUAGGGUUUGAGUAUGAUUGGUGGUUGAUUUUUUCGAGUUUAGGGUUUAGAUGCAGAGGGAGUUGAGGGUUGAGGUUUACGGGUUGUGAUUUUUUGGCGAUUGGUGGUGGCUUCGGAAGGUGUCUAGGUUAGGGACCGGGCAACAUUGGUGUUGUGGUUAAUUUAGGCUUGGUCUAUGGGUUUCUCGGUGUUUGUGGUGGAUGAGAGUCGGUGAAGAAGGUAGUGUUGUUGGAAGUUGCAAUGGAGGAUUGGUUGGGUCGUGCGAGGGUGGUAGUUUAGGGUGGCUUCAAUGGUGUUGUCAAUGUAAAUGGCAGUCGAGGUUUCUGGUUCACCCAGAGAGAUGAAAAGAAAAUGAAGGAUUUGUUGUUGUUUUUCUCUCUAA